UCUUUAUCGAUAACAACAAAAAUAAACAAACGUGAUGCUUAUGGCGCUCGGCUGGACACGUAAUUUCCGCUUUGUCGUCAUCACAGAGCGACGUUUUCUCAGGAAGCAAGUGGUUGAAGCGAAAUCACCCCGUCUAAAAGAAAUGGCACCAUCACCCACAAAACGGAAGGAGGAGG